GGCCUCGUAGCUCAGCUAAUACAGCGUGCGCUGUACAAAACGCGUAGGCGACGUCCAUGCGUGGGUUCGAAUCCCACCGAGGUUA
rnacentral:tRNA from 1 species